GAUGGUGAUGGAUAUAAUCAAAUAUAACAUUUUAAAACAUCUUACAUGUGAACAAUAGUAGAAGACCAAUGAAUAUCAAAGAAGUUUU
rfam:Eutrema salsugineum unplaced genomic scaffold scaffold_1, whole genome shotgun sequence.